GCCACCUUAGCUCAGCUGGCAGAGCAACUGUUUUGUAAACAGUAGGUCCCCGGUUCGAUCCCGGGAGGUGGCUCCA
rnacentral:tRNA from 1 species